GACGAACGCUGGCGGCGUGCUUAACACAUGCAAGUCGAACGAUGAAGCUAGAGCUUGCUCUGGUGGAUUAGUGGCGAACGGGUGAGUAACACGUGAGUAACCUGCCCCGAACUCUGGGAUAACUGCUGGAAACGGUAGCUAAUACCGGAUAUGACCAAUGAAGGCAUCUUCUGUUGGUGGAAAGAAUUUCGGUCAAGGAUGGACUCGCGGCCUAUCAGCUAGUUGGUGAGGUAACGGCUCACCAAGGCGACGACGGGUAGCCGGCCUGAGAGGGUGACCGGCCACACUGGGACUGAGACACGGCCCAGACUCCUACGGGAGGCAGCAGUGGGGAAUAUUGCACAAUGGGCGCAAGCCUGAUGCAGCAACGCCGCGUGAGGGAUGACGGCCUUCGGGUUGUAAACCUCUUUUAGUAGGGAAGAAGCGAAAGUGACGGUACCUGCAGAAAAAGCACCGGCUAACUACGUGCCAGCCGCCGCUGUAA
rnacentral:rRNA from 1 species